rnacentral:rRNA from 1 species
UGGCGGCACUAGCGCGGUGGUCCCACCUGACCCCAUGCCGAACUCAGAAGUGAAACGCCGUAGCGCCGAUGGUAGUGUGGGGUCUCCCCAUCCAUGUGAGAGUAGGGAACUGCCAGGCA